rnacentral:rRNA from 1 species
UAGGGAAUCUUCCGCAAUGGGCGAAAGCCUGACGGAGCAACGCCGCGUGAGUGAUGAAGGUCUUCGGAUCGUAAAACUCUGUUAUUAGGGAAGAACAAAUGUGUAAGUAACUAUGCACGUCUUGACGGUACCUAAUCAGAAAGCCACGGCUAACUACGUGCCAGCAGCCGCGGUAAUACGUAGGUGGCAAGCGUUAUCCGGAAUUAUUGGGCGUAAAGCGCGCGUAGGCGGUUUUUUAAGUCUGAUGUGAAAGCCCACGGCUCAACCGUGGAGGGUCAUUGGAAACUGGAAAGCUUGAGUGCAGAAGAGGAAAGUGGAAUUCCAUGUGUAGCGGUGAAAUGCGCAGAGAUAUGGAGGAACACCAGUGGCGAAGGCGACUUUCUGGUCUGUAACUGACGCUGAUGUGCGAAAGCGUGGGGAUCAAAC